rnacentral:misc_RNA from 1 species
GAUGAAGAACGUAGUGAAAUGCGAUAAGUAAUGUGAAUUGCAGAAUUCAGUGAAUCAUCGAAUCUUUGAACGCACAUUGCGCCCGCCAGUAUUCUGGCGGGCAUGCCUGUUCGAGCGUCAUUACAACCCUCAGGCCCCCGGGCCUGGCGUUGGGGAUCGGCGGAGCCCCCCGUGGGCACACGCCGUCCCCCAAAUGCAGUGGCGGUCCCGCCGCAGCUUCCAUCGCGUAGUAGCUAACACCUCGCGACUGGAGAGCGGCGCGGCCACGCCGUAAAACACCCAACUCUUCUGAAGUUGACCUCGAAUCAGGUAGGAAUACCCGCUGAACUUAAGCAUAUCAAUAAGCGAGGA